CCCUUAGAUGUUCUGGGCCGCACACGCGCUACACUGAAGGAGGCAGCGUGUACUCCUGGAUCGAAAGAUUUGGGUAACCCGCGAAUCUCCUUCGUGCUAGGGAUUGAGGUUUGCAAUUAUCCUUCAUGAACGAGGAAUUCCCAGUAAGUGCAAGUCAUAAGCUUGCGCUGACUACGUCCCUGCCCUUUGUACACACCGCCCGUCGCUACUACCGAUUGAAUGAUUUAGUGAGGACUUCGGACUGGGACCAAUGCGGCUUUCGGGCUGCGUCGGUAUUCUGGAAAGAUGUCCAAACUGUAUCAUUUAGAGGAAGUAAAAGUCGUAACA
rnacentral:rRNA from 1 species